rnacentral:rRNA from 1 species
AACGAACGCUGGCGGCGUGCCUAACACAUGCAAGUCGAACGAGAAAGGGGCUUCGGCUCCGAGUAAAGUGGCGCACGGGUGAGUAACACGUAGGUAACCUGCCUCUAAGAUUGGGAUAACCUGUCGAAAGACGAGCUAAUACCGAAUAAGACCACGGCUUCCUCGGAAGCAGGGGUCAAAGGUAGCCUCUACUUGUAAGCUAUCACUUAGAGAUGGGCCUGCGUACCAUUAGCUAGNGGUGGGUACGCUACAGCAAGAUGGUUAGCUGGUCUGAGAGGAUGAUCAGCCACACUGGAACUGAGACACGGUCC